rnacentral:rRNA from 1 species
CUCGAGGCCAGAUCUUUCCGGUUGAUCCUGCCGGACCUGACUGCUAUCGGAUUGAUACUAAGCCAUGCGAGUCAUUGUAGCAAUACAAGGCAGACGGCUCAGUAACACGUAGUCAAUCUAACCUAUGGACGGGGAUAACCUCGGGAAACUGAGAAUAAUACCCGAUAGAUCAUUAUGCCUGGAAUGGUUUAUGGUCGAAAUGAUUUAUCGCCGUAGGAUGGGACUGCGUUCUAUCAGCUUGUUGGUGAGGUAAUGGCCCACCAAGGCUAUAACAGAUACGGGCUCUGAGAGGAGAAGCCCGGAGAUGGGUACUGAGACACGGACCCAGGCCCUAUGGGGCGCAGCAGGCGAGAAAACUUUGCAAUGUGCGAAAGUACGACAAGGUUAAUCCGAGUGUUUUCUGCUAGAGAAAUCUUUUGUCAGUCCUAAAAACACUGAUGAAUAAGGGGUGGGCAAGUUCUGGUGUCAGCCGCCGCGGUAAAACCAGCACCUCAAGUGGUCAGGAGGAUUAUUGGGCCUAAAGCAUCCGUAGCCGGCUGUGUAAGUUUUCGGUUAAA